GAUGAACGCUGGCGGCGUGCCUAAUACAUGCAAGUCGAGCGAACAGACGAGGAGCUUGCUCCUCUGACGUUAGCGGCGGACGGGUGAGUAACACGUGGAUAACCUACCUAUAAGACUGGGAUAACUUCGGGAAACCGGAGCUAAUACCGGAUAAUAUAUUGAACCGCAUGGUUCAAUAGUGAAAGACGGUUUUGCUGUCACUUAUAGAUGGAUCCGCGCCGCAUUAGCUAGUUGGUAAGGUAACGGCUUACCAAGGCAACGAUGCGUAGCCGACCUGAGAGGGUGGUCCGCCACAAUGGAACUGGGGAACGGGCCAGAAUCCUAAGGGGAGCAGGCGGAGGGAAUCUUCCGCAAUGGGCGAAAGCCUGACGGAGCAACGCCGGGUGAGGGAUGAAGGUCUUCGGAUCGUAAAACUUUGUUAUUAGGGAAGAACAAAUGUGUAAGUAACUAUGCACGUCUUGACGGUACCUAAUCAGAAAGCCACGGCUAACUACGUG
rnacentral:rRNA from 1 species